AUAAAAAAAUUCCAAAAAAAUUCCCCAAAAAUUCCGGGAUGGACGAGGAGGAGCUCCGGGAUGACCUGCGCCAGUUCCCAGACCGCUCCACUCUGCCGCGCUGUCUCCGCUCCUUCCCGGCCGUGUACCUGAGCCUGGCUCUGACCUCGCUGCUGCUGCUCACCCUCAGCGCCCUGGCGCUCGCCAGAGUUUCCUCCAUUUCCUCCAAACUCCACCAGGAGCCCCUGCAACAGAAUUUUUCCAACUCGGAUUCC